GAGAAUAUGAGAGAUAUAGCAGCUUUGGAAGAGAGGAUACGUAGACAAAGAAAAGAGAAGCAAAAUAGCAUUGCCUGCAGAGGAAUAAUUACAGUAACCAUUACAUAACGGUAAAUAAAGGCUGUUAGGACCGUUACACUUGCAACUCCAAAUUUGCCCGUAAAUAACAGUGUAUUGCGCAACAACCGUUCUAAAACCCCUAUAUUUGAAACCAUGCUCUCUCUCUCUCUCAUUCAUCAAUAACGUCUAUUGAAAAUUUCAUAUCUACAACUAUUUUUAUAAUGUCUACUUCUCUAAGUGUGUACCAUAUGCAUAGCAGACUUGGUGUAUCAUUUCAUUAUAAAAUUAAGAGAAAAUGCAUGGCAUCAACAAAUCAAAGUUGCAGAUUGCAGAAUUGAGUGAUUAGAAAAACACAAACCUGCUUUUGACUUUUGAAAUCA
rnacentral:misc_RNA from 1 species